AAGAGAGAAGGGGGAGGAGAGGGAGGAGAGGGAGACUUGGCCGUUAGAGAAGAGGAGAAAGAAAUUUUAAAUGAGAGAGACUGUACAUGUAGGGUUUUUAUUAGAUUUUUUUUUUUUUUGAAAUCUUGCUUAAUUGGAUUGAGAGAAUUUUGGUAUUCGCUUCAUCGACUUGUAUUAGCUGUCCAUUGGUCCAUUGUUUUGUCAUUUUUUUUCAACAAACUAAAUGUUUUAAGCCAUUUACAAAUUAGAUUUCGAUAAAUCGAUAAUCAUAUUCUUUUACAAUAUAGGACUAAAAAAGAUAACUAAUAUAUAUAUACAUACAACAGUAUUUAG
rnacentral:lncRNA from 1 species